rnacentral:rRNA from 1 species
GUACACGCUGUGACUAGCAUAUCAAUAAGCGGAGGAAAAGAAACUAACAAGGAUUCCCCUAGUAACGGCGAGUGAAGCGGGAAGAGCUCAAAUUUGAAAUCUUAAAGGGUUUCCCUUUACGAAUUGUAGUUUAAAGAAGUGUUUUCUGUUGAGGUUUUGGUAAAAGUUCUUUGGAAUAGGACAUCAUAGAGGGUGAGAAUCCCGUAUUUGCCCUUUACUUUCAACUUUGUGAUACACUUUCAAAGAGUCGGAUUGUUUGGGAAUGCAGUCCAAAAUGGGUGGUAAAUUUCAUCUAAAGCUAAAUAUUGGCGAGAGACCGAUAGCGAACAAGUACCGUGAGGGAAAGAUGAAAAGAACUUUGAAAAGAGAGUUAAACAGUACGUGAAAUUGUCAAAAGGGAAGCGUUUGACACCAGUGUUGUUUUUCUGAAAAUCAAUUAAAGAACUGUUUAUGCUAAGUUGUUUAGACUUUAUCAGCUAACUGUUUAGUUUUGAGCUUUUCUUUAAUGCACUUUUCAGUUAACAAGUCAACAUCAAUUUCUUUUGCUGUAAAAAAGCUUGAGGAAGGUGGCUUGAGAUUCGUCUUAAGUGUUUAUAGCCUCUUGCCUAUGCAGUCGGAGAGAUUGAGGUCUGCAGCGUAGAUCCUUCGGGGCUAAAUGCAUUUGUGCUAAGUUAUAGCAUUUUAUAGACAACUUGUUGACUAUGAUUUGUCUUGUAGCUUACUCGCUUAUGUUAUUUUACCUACGCUUAGGAUGUUGACAGCAGUAUAGACUGU